GCUGCAGUAUCUUGACUGUACAAAGGUAGCAUAAUCAUUAGUUUUUUAAUUGAAAGCUGGAAUGAAUGGUCGAAUGAGAAAAUGUCUGUCUCUUUUUAAUAAGUUAGAAUUUUAUUUUUAAGUUAAAAAGCUUAAAUUUUAUAAAAAGACGAGAAGACCCUAUAGAGUUUAAUAGGCUAUAAUUAAUUUAAAUUAAGGUUUUAAAAUUUAGAUUAAUUAAGCUUAUUUUGUUGGGGUGACACUAGAAUUUAAUUAACUUCUUUUUGAAAAUUCAUUGAUUUAUGAAUAAAUGAUCCUAACUUUUAGAUUAUAAGAAAAAAUUACCUUAGGGAUAACAGCGUAAUUUUUUUGGAGAGUUCUUAUCGAUAAAAGAGAUUGCGACCUCGAUGUUGGAUUAAAGUUUAAUAUUGGUGUAGAAGCUAAUAAAUUA
rnacentral:rRNA from 1 species